CGGAGGGUGCGAGCGUUGUCCGGAAUCACUGGGCGUAAAGGGCGCGUAGGCGGCCUGAUAAGUAGGGGGUGAAAUCCUGCGGCUUAACCGCAGGGCUGCCUUCUAAACUGUCAGGCUCGAGCACAGUAGAGGCAGGUGGAAUUCCCGGUGUAGCGGUGGAAUGCGUAGAGAUCGGGGGAGAACAUCAGUGGCGAAGGCGGCCUGCUGGGCUGUUGCUGACGCUGAGGCGCGACAGCGUGGGGAGCAAACAGGAUUAGAUACCCUGGUAGUCCACGCCGUAAACGAUGGGCACUAGGCGUCGGGGGGAGCGACCCUCCCGGUGCCGUCGCUAACGCAGUAAGUGCCCCGCCUGGGGAGUACGGCCGCAAGGCUG
rnacentral:rRNA from 1 species